GGGCUGGGGCUCAGCGGUAGAGCGCUUGCCUAGCACGUGUGAGAUCCUGGGUUCGAUCCCCAGCACCACA
rnacentral:tRNA from 1 species